rnacentral:rRNA from 1 species
GAUGGCUCUGCUAUCACUUCUGGAUGGACCCGCGGCGUAUUAGCUAGUUGGUGAGGUAAAGGCUCACCAAGGCAGUGAUACGUAGCCGACCUGAGAGGGUAAUCGGCCACAUUGGGACUGAGACACGGCCCAGACUCCUACGGGAGGCAGCAGUAGGGAAUCUUCCACAAUGGACGCAAGUCUGAUGGAGCAACGCCGCGUGAGUGAAGAAGGGUUUCGGCUCGUAAAGCUCUGUUGUUAAAGAAGAACGUGGGUAAGAGUAACUGUUUACCCAGUGACGGUAUUUAACCAGAAAGCCACGGCUAACUACGUGCCAGCAGCCGCGGUAAUACGUAGGUGGCAAGCGUUAUCCGGAUUUAUUGGGCGUAAAGCGAGCGCAGGCGGUCUUUUAAGUCUAAUGUGAAAGCCUUCGGCUCAACCGAAGAAGUGCAUUGGAAACUGGGAGACUU